rnacentral:rRNA from 1 species
CCUACGGGAGGCUGCAGUGGGGAAUAUUGGACAAUGGGGGGAACCCUGAUCCAGCCAUGCCGCGUGUGUGAAGAAGGCCCUCGGGUUGUAAAGCACUUUCAGUGAGGAAGAACGCCUGGUGGUUAAUACCCAUCAGGAAAGACAUCACUCACAGAAGAAGCACCGGCUAACUCCGUGCCAGCAGCCGCGGUAAUACGGAGGGUGCGAGCGUUAAUCGGAAUUACUGGGCGUAAAGCGCGCGUAGGUGGCUUGAUAAGCCGGUUGUGAAAGCCCCGGGCUCAACCUGGGAACGGCAUCCGGAACUGUCAAGCUAGAGUGCAGGAGAGGAAGGUAGAAUUCCCGGUGUAGCGGUGAAAUGCGUAGAGAUCGGGAGGAAUACCAGUGGCGAAGGCGGCCUUCCGGACUGACACUGACACUGAGGUGCGAAAGCGUGGGUAGCAAACAGGAUUAGAUACCCGGGUAGUC